GUGGGGAAUAUUGGACAAUGGGCGCAAGCCUGAUCCAGCCAUGCCGCGUGAGUGAUGAAGGCCCUAGGGUUGUAAAGCUCUUUCACCGGAGAAGAUAAUGACGGUAUCCGGAGAAGAAGCCCCGGCUAACUUCGUGCCAGCAGCCGCGGUAAUACGAAGGGGGCUAGCGUUGUUCGGAAUUACUGGGCGUAAAGCGCACGUAGGCGGACAUUUAAGUCAGGGGGGAAAUCCCGGAGCUCAACUCCGGAACUGCCUUUGAUACUGGGUGUAUGGAGUAUGGAAGAGGUGAGUGGAAUUCCGAGUGUAGAGGUGAAAUUCGUAGAUAUUCGGAGGAACACCAGUGGCGAAGGCGGCUCACUGGUCCAUUACUGACGCUGAGGUGCGAAAGCGUGGGGAGCAAACAGGAUUAGAAACCCCAGUAGUCC
rnacentral:rRNA from 1 species